rnacentral:lncRNA from 1 species
AGAGGCCUAUGAGUCAAAAGCUUGGUUCCAUGGUGGUGUAAUUAAGAAGAGGUUUAGAGUUGAGGCUCUGUGGAAAGUCAUUACGUCAUUGUGUAGGACGGUGAAUGACCUCAGGGGUCAGUAGCUCUCUGAUCUCUUCCUCUCUGUCUUCUUUCUGCUUCAGUGCACCCUCCACCCACCAGGAAAGCAGGUUUCUUCUGCCUGAAUCUCUUUGCUACUUUGCCACACACCUAAAGCUAACGGGCCGAUCUAUUUAGGGCUAUAACCCCUAGAAGUCCAAGUGAAAAAGUAAUCGUUCUUCUUUAUAACUUGAUUAUCUCCUGUGUUUUGUUAUAGUGACAGAAAGCUGGCUAACAUAAGAGUCACUGAAGACUUUCAUCUUUCCUCUAAUAAAAUGGAGUCAGACAUUGUGCUGGCUGGUUUUGAGGGUCAACUUGACUGACAAGAAGCUCAAGCCAGAGAGGAGGGAGCCUCAGUUGAGGAAAUGCCUCCAUGAGAUCCAGCUGUGAGACAUUUUCUCAUUAGUGAUCAACGAGGGAGCCUAAUAAGGAGAGUGCUGUCCCUGGUCUGGUGGUCCUGGGUUCUAUGAGAAAGAAAGCUGCUAAGCCAUGUUAAACAAGCCAGUUACCAGCACCCCUCCAUGCCCCCUGCACAGCUCCUGCCUGCAGGCUCCAGCCCUGCUUUAGUUCCUGUCCUGACUUCCUCCAAUGAUGGACCAUGAUCUGGAAGUGUAAGCUAAAUAAAGCCUUUCCUCCCCAACUUCCUUUUUGGCCAUGGUGUUUUGUUCCAGCAGUAAAAUCCCCAACGAAGACAUCA